GAUGAACGCUGGCGGCGUGCCUAAUACAUGCAAGUCGAACGCAUAGCGAAAGGUGCUUGCACCUUUCAAGUGAGUGGCGAACGGGUGAGCAACACGUGGACAACCUGCCUCAAGGCUGGGGAUAACAUUUGGAAACAGAUGCUAAUACCGAAUAAAACUUAGUGUCGCAUGACACAAAGUUAAAAGGCGCUUCGGCGUCACCUAGAGAUGGAUCCGCGGUGCAUUAGUUAGUUGGUGGGGUAAAGGCCUACCAAGACAAUGAUGCAUAGCCGAGUUGAGAGACUGAUCGGCCACAUUGGGACUGAGACACGGCCCAAACUCCUACGGGAGGCUGCAGUAGGGAAUCUUCCACAAUGGGCGAAAGCCUGAUGGAGCAACGCCGCGUGUGUGAUGAAGGCUUUCGGGUCGUAAAGCACUGUUGUAUGGGAAGAACAGCUAGAAUAGGAAAUGAUUUUAGUUUGACGGUACCAUACCAGAAAGGGACGGCUAAAUACGUG
rnacentral:rRNA from 1 species